ensembl:lncRNA
AUGGAGAGGAUGUGGCUGCAAGAUGUCCAACAGAUUUGCAGGGUCACUUGGAGAUUGAAGAUCUCAUGAGAAGUUUGGUCUCCCCCCAUGGAGGAAACUCAGUUCAGUUAGGAGACUUGCUCCACCACCCCUUUUUCUGGACCCAUGAGAGCAGGUUUGAGUUUCUUGUGGACGUUGGGAAUAAUCCAGACAUCGAAAAAUACAAUGCUGAGAGUCAGAUUGUGAAAGCUUUGAAUUGCAAUAAGGCAACAACUGGGAAGCACUUCUACCAGUGGACUAAGAAGUGUCAUCAUAGUCCUUUCUGCUUGAUGGUUGUUUGGACUACUGGCUGUAUUCAACUUUUACUCAAUCUGCUCAUGUUCUGUGUCCACCAUGUCUUCAAAGACAGGAUACCUAUUGCUGUUGACAAGGCUGAAGAUUGAUCAAGAUGUUCUGGAAAACAUGGAAAAGAGACGCCCCUCCAUAAAGGUUCAAGGAAAUAAUCCAGAACCCAUCACAGUAUUUUGUUGACCGGUUUCCAGAUCUGACAUUUUAUGUCUAUGAGCAUUUGUGCCAUGUGGACAGAGGUUGGUGGGAUUUAAUUACCUAUUUGGUGAAUGCCUCCAGUUCUCUAGCAUCUCCAAAAAGGGGAUCAGAGUGAGAACAUGAGAUGGAUUCAGAGGCUCAUGUGGUUUGUUUAGAGUCUGAAGGGACAGGAAUUCACCGUGGAGGUUGCUCUGCUUAUUUUUAUUUAGAGGCAGACAGAUAGGCACUAGGAACACAUCUAGCGAACAGAACUUUUUAUUCUCUGCACUUGCUAGCAUCUGAGCAGAAAGUUUCUCUGUGCAUGUUGCUUGAAACUCAGAACUUUUUUCAACCAUUGCAGCAUCCACUAAUAACAUUGGAGCACUAGGCUUCCCGCUGUCUCUGUGAAGGGGAAAAACACUUUACAUCACAGGCUGCAAUGACCUCUGGGCAGUUAUCAAGCCAGAAGGAUAGUGGGGGACGGAUACAGCUCCCUUAGGCCUUGUUUACACUGGGGAUUUCAGCCAGCAUGGUAGCUGCACUAGUGUAGGCAGGCAAAGCGGCUUUAAACUGCGGUUAGGUUAGCAACGAUGCAGCUUGCCCCUGCUUCAAGCAGUCUCAAGCUCCCCCAGCGCAAAUUGCAGCUUGUAGAGCUUUUGCCUGCCCACACUGGGGGUUUGUACUGGUGCAGCUACCUUGGUGGCUGGUGGCUGUAACUGGGGCAUAUCCCCAGAGUAGACAAGCCGGGCCGGUGCAACCGUUUAGGCGCCCUAGGGUGCUAGGAUUUGGGGGGCGCCAUUUUCUUCGGCAGUGACCACAACGGCCGGAUCUUCAGCUGCCCCGGUUGUUGUCGGCAUUUCAGCGGAGGGAGCUGGGGCAGGGGAGUGCAGGGAGGGUCACCUGCAGUAAGUAAGCGGGGGGCGGCAUGCAGGGGAACUCCCCGCCCCAGCUCACCCCUGCCCUGCCUCCUCCCCAAGCAUGUGGUGGCUGCUUCACUUCUCCCGUCUCCCAGGCUUGUGGCACCAAUCAGCUCGGGGUGCUCGGGCUUGUGCUCAUGUGCAGA